rnacentral:rRNA from 1 species
AAUGAACGCUAGCUACAGGCUUAACACAUGCAAGUCGAGGGGUAACGAGAGGAAAGCUUGCUUUCCUUGUCGACGACCGGCGCACGGGUGAGUAACGCGUAUCCAACCUGCCCCCAACUAGGGAAUAACCUUGCGAAAGUAAGACUAAUACCCUAUAAUUUCCUCAGAUGUCAUCUGACGAGGAAUAAAGAUUUAUCGGUUGGGGAUGGGGAUGCGUCUGAUUAGCUUGGUGGCGGGGUAACGGCCCACCAAGGCAACGAUCAGUAGGGGUUCUGAGAGGAAGGUCCCCCACAUUGGAACUGAGACACGGUCCAAACUCCUACGGGAGGCAGCAGUGAGGAAUAUUGGUCAAUGGGCGGAAGCCUGAACCAGCCAAGUAGCGUGCAGGAUGACGGCCCUAUGGGUUGUAAACUGCUUUUAUACAGGAAUAAAGUUGGCCACGUGUGGUUAUUUGUAGGUACUGUAUGAAUAAGGACCGGCUAAUUCCGUGCCAGCCGCCGCCGUAA